rnacentral:rRNA from 1 species
GAUGAACGCUGGCGGCGUGCCUAAUACAUGCAAGUCGAGCGAACAGGCGAGGAGCUUGCUCCUUUGACGUUAGCGGCGGACGGGUGAGUAACACGUGGGUAACCUACCUAUAAGACUGGGAUAACAUCGGGAAACCGGAGCUAAUACCGGAUAAUAUUUCGAACCGCAUGGUUCGAUAGUGAAAGAUGGCUUUGCUAUCACUUAUAGAUGGACCUGCGCCGUAUUAGCUAGUUGGUAAGGUAACGGCUUACCAAGGCAACGAUACGUAGCCGACCUGAGAGGGUGAUCGGCCACACUGGAACUGAGACACGGUCCAGACUCCUACGGGAGGCAGCAGUAGGGAAUCUUCCGCAAUGGGCGAAAGCCUGACGGAGCAACGCCGCGUGAGUGAUGAAGGUCUUCGGAUCGUAAAACUCUGUUAUUAGGGAAGAACAAACGUGUAAGUAACUGUGCACGUCUUGACGGUACCUAAUCAGAAAGCCACGGCUAACUACGUG